AACUACCGCAGGACUACUGUGUUUACAGGUCAAUCUUACGGCUUUCCACAUCCGGCUCGGCCCUUCUGGUGGGUCAUCGGACAAGGCAGUGGCACCCGGCAUUAUCUCCUGCUGUUUGGGCAUCCCUUUCCUGCAAGGAGCUUGGCAUGAGGCCCCUGCAUAGACAGACCUUCCUUAUUUCGACUUGUUCUUCUUUUGACCAGUAGAUGGUCUGAACGUGCCAGAAGGAAGCAAUGCAGAGCUCUCCAGUCUAGGAGGCAAUUUCAUCAUAUGCAGUGUUUGGGAUGGACCCCAAGGCUCCAUGCAGCCUAGGCCCUAACCAGAACCCUGAUGUUUCUCAAGUGGACAUGGAGAAGUAGCCUUAAAGCAUUUUCUUGAGCAAGCCUCUACAGUAUGGAGGGAGCCGUCAGAGAGAUGCAAGCUCUUUGAAGCAGGAUAUUAAAAAAAACAUGAAGGCAACAGUCAGGCACCAUAACAUUUUAUGGUGAACUGAAGAAACGUAGGCUUGCACAGGCUGGUUAACAUUUCAGAAGACAUGCUGGUGCUCGACCCAAAGCAAGACUGGCCCACAGGACAAAGAGGCAAGUUAGGACCAGAGCCUGCUGAGAAGCGUUCACGCUGCACUUCUCCGCUCCCUGUG